UACGGAGGAUGCAAGCGUUAUCCGGAAUGAUUGGGCGUCAAGCGUCCGCAGGUGGCUGUGUAAGUCUGCUGUCAAAGAGCAAAGCUCAACUUUGUAAAGGCAGUGGAAACUACACGGCUAGAGUGCGUUCGGGGCAGAGGGAAUUCCUGGUGUAGCGGUGAAAUGCGUAGAGAUCAGGAAGAACACCGGUGGCGAAGGCGCUCUGCUAGGCCGCAACUGACACUGAGGGACGAAAGCUAGGGGAGCGAAUGGG
rnacentral:rRNA from 1 species